GAUGAACGCUGGCGGCGUGCUUAACACAUGCAAGUCGAACGGUGAAAGAGAGCUUGCUCUCUGGAUCAGCGGCGAACGGGAGAGUAACACGUGAGCAAUCUGCCCCUGACUCUGGGAUAAGCGCUGGAAACGGCGUCUAAUACCGGAUACGAGCUGCGAAGGCAUCUUCAGCAGCUGGAAAGAACUUCGGUCAGGGAUGAGCUCGCGGCCUAUCAGCUAGUUGGUGAGGUAAUGGCUCACCAAGGCGUCGACGGGUAGCCGGCCUGAGAGGGUGACCGGCCACACUGGGACUGAGACACGGCCCAGACUCCUACGGGAGGCAGCAGUGGGGAAUAUUGCACAAUGGGCGCAAGCCUGAUGCAGCAACGCCGCGUGAGGGACGACGGCCUUCGGGUUGUAAACCUCUUUUAGCAGGGAAGAAGCGAAAGUGACGGUACCUGCAGAAAAAGCACCGGCUAACUACGUACCAGCCGCCGCCGUAAAAC
rnacentral:rRNA from 1 species